AGAGCUCCCAGGAAUGUUGGCAGAUGAUAAGCAGAAAUGCCAGAACACUAAUCCUUCAGAGCAAAUCUUCUCAUUGCUACACUUUGACUAACAUGUUGCUGUGAACAGGACCUGGAAAUGAGCCUGGAGUCCAGUGGUACUAGAAGGAAACCACAGCACAGCUGGAAGAGGCAGAAUGUGAGAAAUCCAUGGAUACAGGCAGUCCUGCACAGCAGUACAGUUGAUUGACCUUACAUGGCUUGCUGCAGCCCAAGCUCCACUGAGCAUCUCACUGGAGAAGAACCAGAUCAGCUAACCAGACAGGACAUUCCAAGAGGAGUCUUUGUGCCCUUGGAUCCUUAAUGAGCAGACUGACAAUGAAUGUGUAGCCUCAUACCCCUGAGUAAAAUCGGACCUCUCAGGAAUGCUGGCAUGAGACAAGAAGAAAUGCCGGAAUACUAAUUCUCUGGUGCAAAGCUCCUCAUCCCAACAUUUCUGCUAAGAUGUGGCUGAGCAAUGGACAUUGGAGAUGCAAAUGUCACAGCGAACUGUAUCUGGGCAGUGGGUGCUGUUUGAGGAGACAUUCAGAAUGCCAUUUUCAUCAGAUGACAAAGCAGGCGAACAGCUCCAGUUACAAAGCAGCACUGUGCUGACCUCCGGGAGCUGCUGGUAUGAGAAGGUGGUGGUGUCUACUCUGCUGGAGCUGUAAGAGCACUGUCAUAAAACCCUAACAGGAAGGCUCAGUCUUGACAGUGACCUUCCCUGUUUCCCUGCUCUGGAUUGUCCCUUUCACAAAGGAUUCCUUUGGAUGGGCCACAAAGACUGAUGACUUGGCAUCAAAAGGCUUGUUCUGGGCCUCGAUUCUUUCCUUCUCUGACUUUCGAAGAUAAGGAGCAGCCUCCCCAAAGGCGGCCAUCUCAGCAUCUGAAGAAGCCAUGUCGGCACUGUACUGAAGGCACGUCAACAGAGUAGUCUGGUGGUGAAAAAAUGUUGUGGAUCACUGAUAAAAGUUCUUACACUUAAGCUAAUAAAAUUUCUAGCUAAUCUUCCAGAAAACCUCUUAGCAACAACCACUUAACAUUCAUUUUGACUUGAACUUAAAAGUACUAAGUCCUACUGAAGAGAGAAACUUGGACUUCUAAAAAAUCUCAACAAGAAAUAAUAGAUUAUCAUCUCAAUGCUGACUACAAUUUGGCAUCUCACUUUGAUGAAUUCUCAUCAGUUUUGAGACCUUCACAUAAAAGAACCUACAGCUGGAGGAAACCACUCUCUGUUUGGUCCUUAAUUAUGAAUGAUGAUUCUUUAAGACAGUACUUUCUUUUUAAAAGAAUUAUCAGGUGGACUAUAAAUUAAGUUACUUCACUUUUUAGAUCUUUCCUGUUUUCAACAGUCUAGUCUAAGCAAGAGUCUGUAGCGAUACAAAGCUGUUACAAUGAGAAAUCAUGCAGCUGUAAAUGAUCCUGCCUUAGUCUGUACUGUAGAAGCACAUUAUUCAGUAUAUUACCCUUUAAGAAUGACUUGUAUAGGGGAAACCGGUCAGUCCUGUGAAACAGGAAUGGCAGUUGUUUCUUGAUGCAGCAAAGAGAUUUAGAGAAAAUUCCUAGAUUGCAGUUACAGACAUGCACUGAAAUUAUAUAAACAGUUUUGUUCACAUGGACAGUCCAUAAUGGAAAUGGUCCACAGAAUCAGGAUAAAUUGACUCUAGUGUCCUCUUUUUUCAAGCUCACAAAAUGCAUGCUCUUACCUUGAAGCCUUCUGUGGAGACAGGCCAGCCUUGUCCCUGGGAGAUUUUAUAGUGUCUCGCCUGCAGGAGCUGUAGAUGCUCCCCCUUUCUUCGGUCAAAACAUUUCUGGCAAAAUUUCUUUGGCAAAGCAUUGUCUGGCAAACUACAGACAUAAUUGUCAUUUGAUUUGAAUGAUAUAAUUAGAAUGUUUUUAUAUCUUACUGACUAUGUGAAUAUAUCUAUAAAUAAUUUAUCAAGUGUGUUAAGGAGAAAAUCUAGACUACUCAAGGCACUUAGAGAACUUGGAUGCUGGAACUUAUGGUUUCUAUUGCUGGCUUUCUCAGUGAUUUGCUGUUUGACCCAUGGCAGUUUGCUUGGUAUGUUUAUACCACAGUUUUUCAGUCAUACAAUGGGAAUGAUAGCAUGUCUAUGAUGCUUUAGGAACAGACACACUGACAGCAACAGAAAAGGUAGGUCAAAAAACAACAAAUUGUUUUUAAGAACCACUUUGCAUUAGUAUGUUCUAAAAAUCAGGAAGUCAGAAUGUAUUACAGCUGCAGUUUCUAUAUAAGACAGUCACAAUAGUUGAGAUAGUUUGAAAUACAUUGAGUUGAAGUUCAGGAGGCUCUUCCAAGUAACAGGAGACUCUAGUUUGAAAUGGAACUCUAAACAGAUUCCCGAGCUGACUUUUGAGAUAUCAAAUUAAAAUAUAUAUUUAUGUAUGCAUACAUAAUAUAUGCUUUUAUGCAUGUCAUUAAAAAAGGACUCCCCAAGAACUUCUGCUUUCUCUCUGUUCACUCUCUUACACAUUUCACGUGCAUUUGAUGUAUAUGUCAUCUACAUAAAUAACUAAUCCCCUCUUGUCAAACCAGAGUUACAGAGGCCCCCAGUCCCUUCCCUACCUACAACUGCCCAGGACAGUAUCCCUCACCCAGUCAUGUUUGUAGAUACAAUCACACAUAUUACCUCAGUGUAUCGUUGUAGGUACUGUGCAUUCUAUUACAUCCUCUAUCCAGCACUGUCCUCCCAUUGAGAUGUGUAUGUAUACACGUUCACAAUCCAAGAAAAGGUCUAACACCACAGUACUAUCUAUACAAGAGCUACAGAGGCAACAGACUGUCUUGUGUAACACUGAUAGUAUGAGAAAAGGAGAUCUUCAGCCAGUCAUUCAUGGAUUCUUGGAGAAAAAUGAGGCAUUCAAUUAUUAGGAACGCAUACUGUCA
rnacentral:lncRNA from 1 species